rnacentral:rRNA from 1 species
GAUGAACGCUGACAGAAUGCUUAACACAUGCAAGUCUACUUGAAGUAACUUCGGUUAUGGAUGGUGGCGGACGGGUGAGUAACGCGUAAAAUAAACUUGCCCCCUAGUCUGGGACAACUGUUGGAAACGACAGCUAAUACUAGAUAUUAUGAGACCUUGGCAUCAAGGACUUAUGAAAGCUAUAUGCGCUAGGGGAGAGAUUUGCGUCCUAUUAGCUAGUUGGUGAGGUAAUGGCUCACCAAGGCGACGAUAGGUAGCCGGCCUGAGAGGGUGAACGGCCACAAGGGGACUGAGACACGGCCCUUACUCCUACGGGAGGCAGCAGUGGGGAAUAUUGGACAAUGGACCAAAAGUACUGAUCCAGCAAUUCUGUGUGCUUGAUGAAGGCCUGUGUAG